GUCCGCGUGGCCUAAUGUGAUAAGGCGCUGACUUCGAAUCAGAAGUUUGCAGGUUCGGAUCCUGCUCGCGGACG